UUUAACAAAAAAGUGGCGGGAUCCGGCUGUGAUUCGGGUCACCCAAUAUUAAAAAACGGAUCCUAUAUAUCAUCUUUACCAGACCACCAUAUCUUAUAACCUCACUUUUCACAAACCCUACAUACCAUUUCCUAAAUCUGCUUCUUCGUUUUUCAGAGAUUCAUCGUCCUUAGAUGAGAUUCAUAAGGACGACAAUGUUUUGAUGCUUUCUUCAUCUUCAUGGUUUGCUUGUGGUCUUUCGUAUCCGUCAAAACCCUAAUCGACCGGAGAAAUCGUCAAAAGUUCUUCACAAUAUGGUGAAGAGCUUCUUUCAGACUCCUUCCCCUACAAGGAACUAUUGAAUGGGUUCCUAUGAGAAGUUGAAGAAAAGUUAUGGAUCAUGAAAACAACGCUCCUUCAUUGUUAAAGUCGAUUGAGGACUAUGAUCCUAUAUUUUCGAAUUGUU